rnacentral:lncRNA from 1 species
UGUCUUGUUUGUUGACUAAACUUGGUGAAAGUGCUAGUGAUCGACUAGAGGGGGGUAAAUAGGCGAUUUUUAUGGAAGUCUUCAAAACAUGGAAGUUUCGAAGACAAACGAUAGAAAUAAACCUAUUACCAUGCAGCGGAAGGUAGACUACACUAGGCAAACCAUAGUCAAGUAUUCAAUGAAGUGAAAGCGCAAUGACUAAUAGCAGCUAGGCAGUAAGGAUCAGGUAGGAAGAUAUUGUGAAGCCAAUCAGAACAAGUAAUCACUCAGUGAAGCCAAAUGGUGAUGCAAUCGUACAAUGGCUUCACAAGGACCAACAGUAAGUAAAGGGAAGGGAAGGAUGAAACCAGUGACUCGUUGAAGACAAUGAUUUGUUGGACCAGUUCUAGUUGUUGUGACAACUGCACGUCUAGUUAGGGAGGCUGAGAUUCAACUCAGAAGACCUCGUCUUCACCUUAUUCCCCUUGAGCUAAGGACACCCAGUCCUCGCCCAAUCACUCUGGUAAGUCUUCAAGGUAGACUUCCAAACCUUCACAGACUUCGUUCAUCGACGAUCCACAAUGAUUCUUGGAUGCUCAGAACGUGACGCCUAACCGGCUGGAGGAUAAACAAUCCUCAAGUGUAAUAAGUCUUCAGAUCACACAGACAUGAAGACUUAAGUGAUGCCUAACACUCUUUGGCUCUGGGUGGUUAGGGCUUUAUCCUCGCAAGGAACUCUCUCAAAGGCUUCGAGGUGGGUUGCUCUCAAACGACAAAAGCCGUAUUCUAACUCUGAGAAGCCAACCGUUUAUGGUUGUAGGGGGUGGGCUAUUUAUAGCAACCAGGCAACCCGGCCUGAUUUGUCCGAAAUGACCCUCGGUCACUAAGGAACUGACACGUGUUCCAACGGUCAGAUUUCAAACACACACGGCAACUUUACUUGGGCUACAAGCAAAGUUGACUUAUCCAACUCUGGACAAGAUUUUCUCUCAUAGUAUUCACUCGAAGACAUAGGAUUUUGGUUAAGCAUCACUUCAGUCAUUCUGACUGGUUCUCUUGGACCCCACUUAACAGUACGGUGGUUCCUAUGACUCAACAAAGAAGAAAAAGAACGACGAAAGAACUAAGUCUUCGCGCUCCAUAGUCUUCAUGCGAUGUCUUCUCUUGUCAUAGUGUUCAAUGUGAAUGUCUUCACAUACCACCUUUGUCUUCAAUGUCUUCUUACAUUUUUAGGGGUCAUCUCUGGUAGGAAAACCGAAUCAAUGAGGGACUUCUACCUGUGUUAUCCUGCAAUUCUCACAAACACAUUAGUCCCUCAACUAGGUUUGUCGUCACUACUCCAAAACCAACUAGGGGUGGCACUAGAUGCACUUACAAUCUCCCCCUUUUUGGUGAUUGAUGACAAACUAGUUGAAGUUUUCAACGAGGAAUAUAAUAUGUGAAAUUGUAAAGGAUAGGAAAUUGUCUUCAUAAGUUGCAAGGGCUCCCCCCUGAAGAUGUGCAUAUAAGUAAUUUGCUUUUGGAAUGCAAAUGCACAUGGCAGGUUGUACUUGUGGAGAUCCUCUUCAAUUUUGAUGACAAUUCAUCAUGCAUGAAAAGUAUGUGAAGAUAAUGACAUGCAUAAUGAAAAAUGGACGUCUGCAAAAUGAUCUAAGUGCGGAAUUUAUCGUCGCACAUGCGGAAUUUAUCAUCGCAUCACAGAAUAGCAAAUAAGUAGCAGACGACCAUCGAGCUUAAGUGUUACAACUCAAAGAAACAAAUGUAUCAAAACGAGAGUUGUAAACACUAGGCAAAAUAUAAAGCAACCGCCCAUAUGGACCUGCUUGAAGACUAUCAAACUCAUAUGCUUCUCCCCCUUUUGUUAGUAAGGACCAAAAAGGUUUGAAGACAUAGAGCAUCUACUCGUUCCCAUGAGGAGUAGGUGAAGCAGCAAGGUCGUCGGUGUUGUUAGGCGGUUUAGACGAACUCGGGGCAGUGUCGAUGCGUGCAGAAGUAGGGGGCGGUGAAGUAGCAUCAUCUUCAUCAUAGAUCACUCUGGCAUUCACAGUUGUCACGGAGGAAGAGAACUCAGAGUCUUCAAGAGACGGAGUUCGUCGCAGCACAGUCCUUCUUGGAGGUGUUGAGUCAAACUUGAAGCAUUCAGAGAAGCCAUCCUCUUGAAGAUCAUUCUCAGAGCACAUAAGCGUCAGCCCUUUCCAUGUACGCCGACAGGUUUCAUGGGCAACAAAGGUAUUCUUGGUGGCAAGAUUGCGAAUCCUGUUUACGUCCACCAAGAGGCUUUGCAUUUGGCGCUUCAGCCAGUCAUGAUGCCUAUCCUGUUUCUGAUGAAGGGCAACCAGAAGCUCUCGGUCAUUGAGAACACGAGAUCGCUUCUUGGGCCGUUGGGCAAUGGUGCUGUCAGUGGCUUCAGUGAGGGCACGGUGAGGUGCACGUGUAGUGCCAGCCAGAGGAUAAACACGAGAGAUUGCUUGAACUCCUUCAAUGUUUUGAGAGAAGUUUUGGUUCUCAGCAUUCUGAAGACUAAGAGGCUCCUUGGCAGGCUCUGGAUAGAUGGCUUCAACUGACAUAUCAACGUCAGGCAGAAAGAUCCGAUGAUUGCGAGCAGAGGGCUGAUAGGUGACAACUAAGUGUAGUUUGACCAGCCGCAUUAUCCAUGGAGCGUAAAACUUCAAGCCAAAGAGAUCAGAUCCUGAUGCAGCAAGUUGGCGGAUGAAGAAGUCUUGUGCAUUGAAGCAUUUGCCGUGAAGAAUAUGGAAGACCAAAGUCUUCAUUGCACCUUCUAGCUUUGUAUGUGGAGAAUGUCCUUUGAUGGGCCAGAGAGUUUGCCUUAUAAUGUGAUAGAUAGUGCGUGGCAGAUACUCAAGGUCUUCAACAAAGAACUCCUUAGGAUAUGCAGCAUCUGGAGGCAAAGGCUUCAUCAUGCUAAGCAUCUGACUCAUGUUUGGUUCAGGCUUUUGAAAAAUGCUCUCCAUAGCUGCACUGUGAAGCUGACAACCAGGUUCAUAAAGAUCUCCUGGAGUGGGUAGACCAUUGAGCUCAAUGAUAUCAAAGGCUUUGGCUUCAUGAUGAACAUUCCCGGUCAUCCACUCAAGGACCCACGUCUUCGAAUCUCUGUUGUAGCCAUGAAUAUGAAGAGUGGCAUAGAAUUGGAGCAGCAAUUCUUCGUUCCAGUGCUCUUUGUCGGUGACGAACGACAACAAUCCAGACUCUUUGAAGCAAUCCAGAGCUUCUUCCAAGCAAGGCAGAACAGUUAUGGCUUCAGUGUCAAGACGCAUAUGUGGGAAAAUGCAACCUUGAUUAUACAGAAUGCAUAAGUAAUAACUGCGCUGCUGAUAGCUCCAGAACCGAUUAGAAGAUAUUCUUGCCCUUGAGUAGGGGUUCUUGGCGCUAUUGAAGAAGGUGUUGUGUGCUUUGAAGCCAUUGAUAUUAAAAGAUCCGGGUGCCGAUGCAGGACCUGGAAACCUGGGCAACCUUGGCAUUGGCUUUUGUACUUGAGGCCUGUGCUCAACGUGAUAGUCAAACUGAGGACCAGCAGCAGGCGGAGGAGUCAGAAAAGGCCAUUUGACAGUGAGAAGUUGGCCAUAGUUGAAUGCUUGCUCGAUAGUGUGUGGCCUAGGUGGCGGAACAGGAGCAGUGGCAUCAACAGAGGCGUCAGGCUGCACAUCUGUAGCAUGUGCAUCAUUGGCUUCACUGGCCUCUGGCACAUUGGUUGGUGCAGGCUCCACAUUUACUUCAGCCAUGACUACGUCAUUGGCUUCAUUUGUGUUGGUGGUGGCAGCCUCAAGAUUCUCAACCUCCACUUGAUGAGCUGGAUGGUCGGGCACAGACACGUUCACUUCAGGAACAGCUUCUUCAGAGUUUGGGGGUGUAGGGACACGAUCUUCUUCUUGUUUGUCAUCGGCUGAUGCACCCGGAUUGUCUUCAGCACCUUUGGCUUCAGACUCAGAGACAGUCACAGUAGGAGUGGCAUCUGGAAACACUUGACGUGCAAUAGAUUGGUGGUGCACUUCUCCUUCUGGAACGCUCGAAAGAUGGACUUGAGACCUUGGUCCUUUGCGAAUCCUGUGUAGCACUGGCGACGCCUGUGGAGAUGGAGUUGGCUGGACCUCAAAGUCAUCCUCUUCUUGAACUGAUGGGGUUGCUUGGGGAGAGCUUGGAGUGUCUUGUCUCUGUGGGUGAUCAGCCCACGAUGCAUCCUGGGCAGUUGGCGUUAGAGGACGACCAAUGCUGAUGAGUUCGAUGUGCGUAAGCACAGGCAAUGAUACCAGUUGGUGCUCGAUCUAAGGAAGGACUUCAUCAUCUUCAACAUUGUCAUGGUGACCAAUGUCUUCAGCAGCGGUGGGGUCAACUGCUGGAAUGUCUUCAACAUCAGGAGCCUCUGUGGAAGCAGGCUCAUGAACAAUCAGUUGGCGCUCGUGGUGUUCAGAUGCAGGGCGAACCAUUGAGAUAGGUUCAACAACUAAGGGCUCUGUGGGAGCAGCCCGAUCCUUCUUGGUUUUGCGCUUCUUCUUAGAGGGAGCGACAUCAGAAGCUUCAGGAUUUUCCCUUUUUCUGGCUUCAGCCUCGGCAAUCCUCGUCUUCUUCAGUUCUGAAGCGGUUGACCUGACCUUUGGCUUCGAGCUAGUCAUGCUGCUUGGAAGACUAUGCGAGGUUCUUCCUGCCUUGAAUUUGCAGAUUGGUCAGUUGAGGGCUUCUUCUUCUUUGCAUCCAUUCUUGGGUCGAUGCCAGGACGACCAAGAGCCUUGCGCUUCUCAGCCUCAUUGAAGGCUUGCACACACUUGUCAGCCAGGCUCUUCAUGCGCUCACGAGAACCUUUAGCUUCUUCACGCUUCUUGAGAAAGGCUUCCUUGAGCUCAUGCAGCAUAAUCUUGAAGUUUUUCACAUCCUGCACGCUGAGCUUGGCCAUGUGCUUAUUGAACUGAGCUUUCUCAAAGUCGAUCUUUUGCUUCAGUUCAACGAUGCGCUGAGCUAGAGCUAGCUUUGAAGCAAUGGCGCCAGUGAAGGCGACACUGAGGCCAAUUGGAAGUUGCAGAUCUUCAAAGCUGAGGUUGGGCGUGUCAAACCACUUAUCAAUGAAGUUAUGGAUGAUUGCCACAUCAAAGAGAGGCAAAUCAUUGAAGAUCUCUGCUUCUUCCUUGCUCUUGAUCAGUUGCUCAAGAGCGUCAUCUGCAAGCUCUUCAUCGCUGGACAGAUCAAUGGCGUCAUUGCGCAGAAUAGCAGUAGCAGUCAGUGCUUGAUCAGUAUUCUUUCUCAUCUCAGUCUUCUUGGAGAUACGUGAGAGAUCUUCAGACUGCACACUGUCUUCAGGAGGUGCAAUAGCCAGUGGCUUCGCCCGUAAGAUUUUUGGUGCUGAGGCAGACUUUGAAGCUUUAGCCUUCUUCUGCUUCUGCGGCUUCGGUGGUGCAGGUGCUUCGUCAGAUUCAGCAUCAUCUGCAGGUUGAGCCACGACUGCCCCUUGAACCAUAAUAUGAGUGAUGAGACCUUCUAGGUUGUAGAAGGGCCCAACCAGAUUGGGUUCAGCUUCUCGUGUGCCAUCAGCACGUGGCGCAGAGGGGCCUGGGUUGAAGUCUAAUCCCAAUGACUUCUUGUUUUCCUUGGUAGAGUUCUGUGCAAACUGAUAGUUGCGCUUGAAGAGAUUGUCUUCGCGACACCAUAACAGAGAGGAUGGGUCGGCAUUAGCAGGCUGAGGUCCACGAAGCAUGCAUGGGUAAAAGCCUUGAGCAAUAGCUUCGGACUAUGAUUUGGGCUGAAGACCUUUGUAUGUGAUAUCUCCCCAUGGUCCCUUGAUGGCACUCUUCUCAGCAUAUUCGUCGGUGAUGAAUCUGUACUUGAACCAUUCCUCUGCCCAAUGUCUUCGAAUCCAUUGGAUUCGGUUCUUGCGUUCUCCAUAGGUUUCUUCUGGAUCUGACUUGUAUUGCUCAUAUAGAUCUGGUAGCAGGUCCUUAGCAGUGUUUCCACGGUGUUGUCUGCCUCCCUUCCUUGUAGAUUUCUCUGUAGCCAUGAACUUCAAACUGAAUGGCUUCAACAUGUUCAAAGGUUUCAAAGGCUUCCGCCUGCAGGUCAAACAGGAACUGGCUUCGGGAGAAUUUAUACGAUGUUGUAAGAAUUCUGGAAAUGAAUGCAGACUAUGAGAACCAAGGGAUUCUCCCACGGACAUGUACCUGUGAUAGCAUUAAGGUGCGAGGGAAGGGGAAGAGGUCAUAUGCAUUCUCAGAAGAUUUUGAAGAUAAAUCAGUUUAGAAGACAUUGACCUCAUCAUGCGAAGACAUUCACUCAUAGAUAAAGAGUUGGUUCCAGAUUUGUACGAAUCCACGGAUCAGUACAAGUGAGGAAUCUAACUACUUUGUGAAGCAUAAGUGAACAUACUAGGCAUGUUAUGAGAUGCAGUAUGAAAUAGAUCCAGCUUGUGUGAAUAGAAACUUCUUGUGGCAGAAAGUGAUGAAUCUAUAGGAUCAAAGGGGCCAUAAAAAGGAAGUUUUAUUUACCACACGAAGAACUGCUAGACAGAGUGGAAGAGGAGGCCGAGAAGUUCGAUCGUCCGUGCCCUAACUUGGCGACGGAGGACACCUACAGCGACGGCGGAGAAGACGAUGUCCGCGGCCAACAUGAAGACGGUGUCGGAGAGGUCGCGGCAGCUAAGUGCUUCGUCGCAGGCGUCGUCGAGGGCUAGCGGUGGCGCUAGGGUUUGUGCGAGAAUGGAAGAAAGGAUAAUGACUGUGGUGAGGCGUGUAUUUAUAGGGACAGGGACGACACAGUGUUAUUACACAGGUGCCCCUGGCGAUUCACAUCUGAAGGACACAUGGCCAUCAUGCAACAUAUCAGAGGUUGUUCCACGUUCCCACGCACGCCUGGAUUGUCGGGUGGUCGUUCCUACUUCUCCGGGUUUCAGGUGAAGAAAUUAGCAUUGAAAACGGACUUAAUGUUUGUCUCUGUAUCUUCUGCUGACAAGGACACAGAGAAGACAUUCGACAGUUUCAAGAGAAUGCAUAUGAUUUGGACAGAUAGAGUUUGAGAUAGAAAGCAUAGAGAGGUUAGGGUCCGAUCACAUUCACUUAGUUCAAAAGAUUCAACAAGAAGACAUAGCUAUAAGUGAAUGCUGUAGAGGACAGAACACUAGUAUAUAUAUAUAUAUAUAUUAUAUUUAUAUAUAUAUAUAUAUAUAUGAGAAAGACAAUCAAAUCAACAUAGUGACGAUAAUCAUGAAGACAAGUUGAAAAUGAAGAUAAACAAACUGUGAAGACAUAGCAAAUGUAAUGCCUUAGGUAAAACACUUCAAACAGAAGAAUUUGGUGGUGGCAUUACCCACCGUAUAGGAAGUAUUAGACCCAGACACGGCGCAUAAUUAUCGUGGCGCUCCGAAGUCAAAUUCCACAUUAAUGUAUUCACACUUAGAAUGUAAGUCUUCAUUGAUUGAAGAUAUACUUUACUUCGUGUGUUGCACAUCUAAGUCAUCAAUAUGCAUAAGUGUUAGGAUGUGUGCCUGAUCACAGGACAUUUGAGGAUUCCAAGAUAUUUAGCUCACACCGUAACUUGCAAAAUCUCUUCUCAUCCAAGGGCUUGGUGAAGAUAUCUGCCAAUUGCUCUUCAGUGUUGACGUGUAUGAUAUCAAUAUCUUCCUUCACAACAUGAUCUCUGAGAAAGUGAUGACGAAUUUCAAUAUGCUUUGUCUUCGAGUGCUGAACUGGGUUGUAGGCAAUCUUGAUGGCGCUUUCGUUGUCGCAGUAGAGUGGCACUUGCUUCAGAUGAAUGCCAUAGUCUUUGAGUGUUUGCUUCAUCCACAGAAGCUGAGCGCAGCAAGAUCCAGCAGCAAUGUAUUCAGAUUCAGCACUGGAGAGAGAUACAUAGUUCUGCUUCUUUGAAGACCAACAUACAAGUGAUCAUCCCAGAAAAUGACAUGUGCCUAAUGUAGAAUUGCGAUCCACCUUGUCACUAGCACAAUCAGCAUCCGAGAAUCCAACUAGAUCAAACUCUGAGCCCUUUGGAUACCAUAAUCCUAGUGUUGGGGUGUAAGCCAAAUAUCGAAGAAUUCGCUUCAUAGCUAAGUGAUGUGAUUCCUUUGGUGUCACUUGGAAUCGAGCACAUAUGCAAACACUAAGCAUAAUAUCUGGCCUAGAUGCACAUAGAUAAAGUAAAGAACCAAUCAUGGAGCGGUAUACCUUUUGAUCAAACUCUUUACCAUUGUCGUCGGGACCCAGAUGAUGUUUGGCUGGCAUUGGCAUCGUGAAGCCUUUGCAGUCUUGCAUCCCAAAUUUCUUCAGGCAAUCUUUGACGCACUUCUCUUGAGAUAUGAAGAUGUCGUUGCGUUGCUGACGUAUUUGAAGACCAAGGAAGAACUUCAGCUCACCCAUCAUGGACAUCUUAUAUUGCUCUUGCAUCAUAUAUUCAAACUCUUCACUGUAUUUCUGAUUGGUGUAGCCGAAGAUAAUGUCAUCCACAUAUAUUUGGCACACAAUCAGUUCACCAUCAUAUGUCUUCGUGAAGAGAGUGGGGUCGAGGGAACCAGGUUUUAAGCCUUUGCUCUUCAGGAAGUCUUUGAGUGUGUCAUACCAAGCCCGAGGGGCUUGUUUGAGGCCAUACAGUGCCUUGUUGAGCUUGUACACCAUGUCCGGAUGUUUUGGAUCUUCAAAGCCAGGCGGUUGUGAAACAUACACUUCUUCUUCAAUCUUGCCAUUGAGAAAAGCGCUCUUCACAUCCAUUUGAUAUAGAAGAAUGUUAUGAUGAUUUGCAUAGGCCAGCAGUAUGUGUAUGGCUUCAAGUCUAGCCACAGGAGCAAAUGUUUCAUCGAAGCCAAUCCCUUCAACUUGAGUGUAUCCUUGAGCAACGAGACGAGCUUUGUUUCUGACAACUUGACCAUGCUCAUCUUGCUUGUUGCGAUAUAUCCAUUUGGUGCCUAUUAUAUUGUGCUUGUGAGGAUCAGGACGCUUAAACAGUUCCCAUACAUUAUUCAGCUCAAACUGUUGAAGCUCUUCUUGCAUAGCUUGAAUCCAUUCAGGUUCCAUGAAGGCUUCUUCAACUUUCUUGGGUUCAGAUAUUGAGAUGAAUGCGAAGUGCCCAAAGAAAUUUGCUAGCUGUGUUGCCCUUGAAUGAGUGAGUGGACCUGGUGCAUUCAUGCUAUCAAUUAUUCUCUCAAUCUAUACUUCAUUUGCAACACGAGGAUGUACAGGACUGUAAGUGCAUCUAGUGCCACCCCUAGUUGGUUUUGGAGUAUUGACGACAAACCUAGUUGAGGGACUAAUGUGCUUGUGAGAAUUGCAGGAUAACACAGGUAGAAGUCCCUCAUUGAUUCGGUUUUACUACCAGAGAUGACCCCUAAAAAUGUAUGAAGACAUUGAAGCCAAAGGUGGUAUAUGAAGAUAUUCACAUUGAAGACUAUGACAAAAGAGGACACGUUAUGAAGCCUAUGGAGCUCGAGACUUAGAUCUUUCAUAGUUAUUUUUCUUUUGUGUUGAGUCAUAGGAACCACCAUACUGUUAAGUGGGGUCCAGGAGAACCAGUCAGAAUGACUGAAGUGAUGCCUAAACCAAAAACCUAUGUCUUCGAGUGAAGACAAUGAGAGCGAAUCUUGUCCAGAGCCGGACAAGUUAGCUUUGCUUGUAGCCCAAGUAAAGUUGCCAUGAGAGUUUGAAAUCUGACCGUUGAGACACGUGUCAGUUCCUUAGUGACCCAGGGUCAUUUCGGACAAAUCAAGUCGGGUUGCCAAGUGGCUAUAAAUAGCCCACCCCCUACAACCAUAAACGGUUGGCUGCUCAGAUUUCAGUGCACGGCUUUUGUCAUUUGAGAGCAACCCACCUCGAAGCCUUUGAGAGAAAAUUCCUAGCGAGGAGAAAAGCCCUAACCACCCAAAGCCAGAGAACAUUGGGCAUCACUUAAGUCUUCUUGUCUGUGUGAUCUGAAGACUUAUUACACUUGAGGACUGUGAAUCCUCCAGACGGUUAGGCGUCGCGUUCAGAGCAUCCAAGAGACAUUGUGGAUUGCCAGUGAACAAAGUCUGUGAAGGUUUGGGAGUCUACCUUGAAGACUUACCAGAGUGAUUGGGCGAGGACUAUGUGACCUUAGCUCAAGGAGAAUACGGUGAGGACUUGGUGUCCUGAGCUGCGUGUUCAGGACUGGGUGUCCGGGACUGUGUGUCCUAAGGUUUAAAUACCUAGCCGCUCCAACCAGACGUACAGUUGUCACAGCAACUGGAACUGGUCCAACACAUCAUUGUCUUCAACGAGUCACCGGUUUCAUCUUCACUUCCUUUUUCUUACUGUUACUCAUUGUGAAGCCAUUGCAUGCUUGCUCUAUCUUUUGUCUUCACAACGUGAAUGUAUGAUCUGUUUGGCUUCAUAACUUCUUCCUACUUGAUCCUUAUUACACUGCAGCUGUUUGUCUUUGUGCUUUCACUCUAUUGAAUACUUGACCAUGGCUUGCCUAGUGUAAUCUAACUUCCACUGCAUAGUAAUAGGCAAAAUCUUCGCUGUUUGUCUUCAUAACUCCCACGUUUUGAAGACUUUCAUAAAAAUCGCCUAUUCACCCCCCUCUAGUCGAUAUAUCGCACUUUCAAUUGGUAUCAGUGCAAGGUGCUCCCUUGUUCUGUGUGAUAGAAGCGAUUAUCUGUUGGGUGCUGAAAUGACUCGAUCUGAAUCCUUAAUUAAAGACAUAAAAAAUCUUCACGUUAAGUAUCAGGAACUUGAAGAUCGUCUUGAUACUCUCUCAACAACUCAUGAAAAGCUUUCCUAUGAUUAUCUUCAAAGGAAGCAAGAACUUGAGAAAUUGAGAGCGGCUCAUGAAGAUCUUCAAAAGGAAAACGAAUCACUUCGCGCCGAACAGAUCAGUUCCGCUCAGGAAGGAUUUGAACCACCAUGUCUUAAAUGCAUUGAGCGUGAUAAUGCUACUUCUGUUGCUGAAUGUUCCACUGCUACUGCUGUUGCAAUAUCUUCAACUGUUGAUGUGGUAACUAACCCCUCUGCUGAGGAUACCACUGCUAUUGCUGAUGAGAAUGCUAGGUUGAAGACAUUGCUUGAAACAGGGAUGUACAAAAGUCUUAAAGGACAUCAGACACUAUGUGAUGUCCUCAAGAAGCAGAUUCUGAACCGAAACCCUAGGAAAGAGGUUGUUGGGUUUGUAAGGAAAAUAAAUGCAGAUGGCUCUUACUGGAAACCUGAGCAGUACCCCAAAACCACAUGGGUUGCUGCAAAGGAACCUUCAGCUGAUCCAUCCAAUUUAUCUGGCUUCACAUGUGCUAACCCCAUUAUUAUUGAUGAAUCCUUUGAUGCAAACUAUAAACUGUUUAAGAAUCAGAAUGGUGAAGUGUUUGCCAGGUACAUUGGUACUAACUGCAGGAAUGGACCAUCUAUGAAGAAGAUCUGGGUUCCAAAAAAGUGUCUGGAAAAUCUUCCUGUGAAUGUCUUCAUGACACCUCACUUGAAGAAGACAAACCUCAGACCAAAGGCUUCAUACGGUCCAAAGGCUUCAUACAAACAGAGGACUCACCUGAGUCACACUAACGCAAAUGUUUUGCAGGGAAACCAUACUCAGGCAUAUGAAUAUGAGAGCAGUUCAUCGAACCAUCAUGUUCAUAUGACCAAAAAUUAUUCUGCUUAUUCCUAUGAGUAUUAUUGUCCACCUGCAAGACUGUUUGCUAAGGCUUCAAAGCCAAAAUUCUCAGAUGCUGCACUUAGACUUAUUGCUUCUAAGCCACCCUUGAAGAUGUGGGUGGUUAAGAAAGCUUAACUCUCUUUUGCAGGGAAAGGUCUCCAGCAGAAAAACAAAAUCUUCUGACGCUAUUGCUGGGGACCUUAAAAAUCUUGUAGGGCGCAUGAUAAAAUGCCCGAAUGGCAUCAUUAUGUACUUUGUUCCUGAAUCGCAUGCUACUCUCCCUAUUAGUCCUAAUCUGGAUCUAAGUUUUCAUAACCCACUGGUUCGUCAAAUGUUUUUGCUUCACAAUUCUCUUCGUGAAGCCUAUCCCCCUAACUGCACUGUAGGGUACGACACCAGCGUCUUCAAAGUCUUCAGAAUGGAUUAUUGACAGUGGGUGUACAAAUCACAUGACUGGCAAAAGAAGCCUUCUUAUGGACUCAACCUUACGUCCAUCCGACAAGAGCCACAUCACAUUUGCUGACACUGGUAAAAGUAAGGUAUUGGGUCUAGGUAGAGUUGCAAUCUCAAAGGAUCAACACAUGGAUAAAGUCAUGCUUGUUGAAUCCCUGGGCUUCAACUUAAUGUCUGUCUCAAUGCUUUGCGAUUUGAACAUGAUCAUAAUGUUUGGAAAAUAUCGUUGCCUAGUACUAAUGGAAUCUGACAAGUCUCUAGUGUUUGAAGGGUAUCGAAAAGAUGAUCUGUACGUGGUAGAUUUCUCAGCAGGGCCACAACUUGCAGUAUGUCUUCUUGCAAAAGCUUCAGAAUGCUGGCUUUGGCAUCGGAGGCUUGGGCAUGCUGGCAUGAGGAACCUCCACACCCUUGCGAAGAAGAAGCAUGUCAUAGGCAUCGAGGGUGUCAAGUUCAAGAAAGAUCACUUAUGCGGUGCUUGUGAAGUAGGGAAAAUGACAAGGGCAAAACAUCCUUCGAAGACAAUCAUGACUACUACUCAACCCUUCGAACUGCUCCACAUGGAUCUUUUCGGCCCCACUCACUACUCAACUUUUACUACUACUGCUUGCCUCUAUGGCUUUGUCAUUGUUGAUGAUUACUCUAGAUAUACUUGGGUGCACAUAAUCCUUUACAAGGCUGAAGUGCAGGAUGUCUUCAGACGCUUCGCCAAUCAUGCUAUGAACAAUUUUGGCGCCAAGAUAAAACACAUCAAAAGUGACAAUGGCACUGAAUUCAAGAACACUGGCCUUGAUACAUACCUUGAUACCUUGGGCAUCACACAUGAAUUCUCAGCUCCGUACACGCCACAGCAGAAUGGCAUCGUCGAACGCAAGAACAAAACACUCAUUGAGAUGGCCAGAACAAUGCUAGAUGAAUACAAGACUCCAAGAAAAUUCUGGAAUGAAGCCAUUGACACUGCAUGCCAUACAAUCAAUCGUGUUUAUCUUCACAAGCUUCUGAACAAGACAUCUUAUGAACUCCUAACUGGCAAGAAGCCAAAUGUCAGUUACUUCAGAGUAUUUGGCGCAAGGUGCUGGAUCAAGGACCCACACCACACCUCAAAGUUUGCACCAAAAGCACAUGAGGGCUUUAUGCUUGGAUAUGGAAAGGAUUCGGACUCCUACAGAGUCUUCAAUCUCUUUCAUUACAAAGUGGUUGAAACAGUGGAUGUGCGGUUCGAUGAGACAAAUGGUUCACAAAGAGAGCAACUGCCAAAUGUGCUAGAUGAGAUUCCAACUAGUGAAUCAAUCAAGCUAAUGGGAACUGGAGAGAUUAUACCUUCUGAAGCUCAUCCUGAAGAAGAACUUAUCAUCUCAGCACCUGAUCAACAUGAAGACAAUGCUCAGCCUGAAGACAUUCCUCCCAACAACAACACAGAUCAGUAAGAGCAAAGUCUUCGCCCUAUACAUCCUCGUGUUGCCAAUGAAGUGCAUAUUGACAGAAUAAUUGACAGCAUCAAUGCACCUGGUCCACUCACUCGUUCAAGGGCAACUCAGCUAGCAAAUUUCUGUGGGCACUUCGCAUUCGUCUCAAUAUCAGAACCCAAGAAAGUUGAAGAAGCCUUCAUGGAACUUGAAUGGAUUCAAGCUAUGCAAGAAGAGCUUCAACAGUUUGAGCUGAAUAAUGUAUGGGAACUGGUUAAGCGUCCUGAUCCACGGAAGCACAACAUAAUAGGCACCAAAUGGAUAUACCGCAACAAACAAGACGAGCAUGGUCAAGUUGUCAGAAACAAAGCUCGUCUCGUUGCUCAAGGAUAUACUCAAGUGGAAGGCAUUGACUUCGAUGAAACAUUUUCUCCCGUGGCUAGGCUUGAAGCCAUACGCAUUCUGCUGGCCUAUGCAAAUCAUCAUAACAUACUUCUAUAUCAAAUGGAUGUGAAAAGUGCCUUUCUCAAUGGCAAGAUUGAAGAAGAAGUGUAUGUUGCACAACCGCCUGGCUUUGAAAAUCCAAAACAUCCUGACAUGGUAUACAAGCUCAACAAGGCACUGUAUGGCCUCAAACAAGCCCCUAGGGCCUGGUAUGACACACUCAAAUACUUCCUGAAGAGCAAAGGCUUCAUACCUGGUUCCCUGGAUCCCACUCUUUUCACGAAGACAUAUGAUGGUGAACUGUUUGUGUGCCAAAUAUAUGUGGAUGACAUUAUCUUCGGCUGCACCAAUCAGAAGUACAGUGAAGAGUUUGGAUAUAUGAUGCAAGAGCAAUAUCAGAUGUCCAUGAUGGGGGAAUUAAAGUUCUUCCUUGGUCUUCAAAUACGACAACAACGCAAUGGCAUCUUCAUAUCUCAAGAGAAGUAUCUCAAAGAUUGCCUGAAGAAGUUCGGUAUGCAAGACUGCAAAGGCUUCACAACACCAAUGCCAGCCAAACAUCAUCUAGGUCCCGACGACAAUGGUAAAGAGUUCGAUCAAAAGGUAUACCGCUCCAUGAUUGGUUCUUUGCUUUAUUUAUGUGCAUCUAGGCCAGAUAUUAUGCUUAGUGUUUGCAUGUGUGCUCGAUUUCAAGCAGCACCAAAGGAGUCGCAUCACUUAGCUGUGAAGCGAAUUCUUCGAUAUUUGGCUCACACCACAACUCUAGGAUUAUGGUAUCCAAAGGGCUCAGAGUUUGAUUUGGUUGGAUUUUCGGAUGCUGAUUAUGCCGGUGACAAAGUUGAUCGCAAGUCUACAUCAGGCACAUGUCACUUUCUGGGACGAUCACUUGUAUGUUGGUCUUCAAAGAAGCAGAACUGUGUAUCUCUCUCCACUGUUGAAUCUGAAUGCAUUGCUGCUGGAUCUUGCUGUGCUCAGCUUCUGUGGAUGAAGCAAACACUCAAGGAUUAUGGCAUUCAUCUAAAGCAAGUACCACUUUACUGCGACAAUGAAAGCGCCAUCAAGAUUGCCAACAACCCAGUUCAACACUCAAAGACAAAGCACAUUGAAAUUCGUCAUCACUUUCUCAGAGAUCAUGUUGUGAAGGAAGACAUUGAUAUCAUACACGUCAACACUGAAGAACAAUUAGCAGAUAUCUUCACCAAGCCCUUGGAUGAGAAGAGAUUUUGCAAGUUACGGUGUGAGCUAAAUAUCCUGGAAUCCUCAAAUGUCCUGUGAUCAGGCACACAUCCUAACACUUAUGCAUAUGAUGACUUAGAUGUGCAACGCACAAAGUAAAGUAUAUCUUCAAUCAAUGAAGACAUACAUUCUAAGUGUGAAUACAUUAAUGUGGAAUUUGACUUUGGAGCGCCACGAUAAUUGUGCGCCGUGUCUGGGUCUAAUACUUCCUAUACGGUGGGUAACGCCACCACCAAACGUUCUAUUUUGAAGUGUUUCACUCAUGGCGUUACCUUGCAAUAUCUUCACAUUUGGUUUGGCUUCAAACUCAACAUGUCUUCAUGAUUAUCUUCACUAUGUUGAUUAUAUAGAUGUAUACAUACUAGUGUUCUGUCCUCUACAACAUUCACUUAUAGCUAUGUCUUCUUGGUUGAAUCUUUUGAACUAAGUGAAUGUGAUCGGACCCUAAUCUCUCUAUGCUUUCUAUCUCAAAUUCUAUCUCUCCAAGUCAUAUGCAUUCUAUUGAAACUGUCGAAUGUCUUCACUGCGUCCUUGUCAGCAGAAGAUAUAGAGACAACCAUAAAGUCCGUUUUAAAUGCUCAUUCCUCCACAUAAAAUCCGGAGAAGCAGGAACGACCGCCCGACAAUCCAGGCGUGCGUGGGACGUGGAACAAACCCCAAACUUCCGCAAACAGGCCACGCGUUCCUCAGAUGCGAAUCACCAGGGGCACCUGUGUAAUAGCACAGUGCCGCCCCUGUGCCUAUAAAUUCACACUUACCGCGGUCAUUAUCUCCUUCUUCCACCCUCGCACGAACCCUAGCGCCACCGCUAGCUUUCGACGACGCCGACGACGAAGCGCUUCGCUGCCGCAACCUCUCCGACGCCGUCCUCACACCGACCGCGGACAUCGUUCUCUCCGCCGUCGCCGUAGGUGUCUUCCGUCGCCAAGUUAGGGCACGGAGGACUGAACUGCUCGGCAUCAUCUCCCACUUCCGUCUAGCAGUUCCAAGUGUGGUAAAUAAAACUUCUUUCUACAGCCCCUUUUGAUCUCAUGGUUCUAUCACUUUCUACCAUAAGAAGUUUAUCUUCACACAAGUUAGAUCUCUCAAUCUGCAUCUCAUAACAUGCCUAGUAUAUUCACUUGUGCUUCAUGAAGUAGUUAGAUUCCUCACUUGUACUGAUCUGUGGGUUCGUACAAAUCUGGAACCAACUUCUUAUCUAUGAGUGAAUGUCUUUGCACGAUGAGGUCAAUGUCUUCUAAAUUGAUUAAUCUUCAAAACCUUCUCAGAAUCCAUAUGACCUCUUCCCCUUCCCUCGCACCUUAAUGCUGUCACAGGUACAUGUCCGUGGGAGAAUCCUUCGGUUCUCAUAGUCUGCAUUCAUUUGCAGAAUUCCUACAGCAUCACAUAAAUUCUCCUGAAGCCAGUUCCUGUUGGUCUAGCAAAAGAAGGCCUUUGAAGCCUUUGAAAGUUUUGAAGCCUUUCAAGUUAAAGUUUAUGGCUUCAGAAGCAGCAGCAAGGAAGGGGGGCAGACAUCGACGUGAAGGAACUUCCAAAGAUCUGCCUGAAGACCUGGCAGAAAUGUAUAAAACAGAUCCUGAAGAGAAUUAUGGACAACGCAAGACCCGAAUCCAAUGGAUUCGACGCUAUUGGGCUGAACAAUGGUUCAAAUACCGCUUCACAACCCAAGAGUAUGCUGAGAAAAGUGCCAUCAAAAUACCGUGGGGAGACAUCUUAUACAAAAACCUUGUACCCAGGUCCAGAGAUGAAGCUAUUGCCCAAAGCUUCUAUCCAUGCAUGGUUCGUGGGCCACAGCCUGAUGAUGCACAUCCGUCGUCACUACUCUGGUGUCGUGACGACAAUCUAUUCAAGCGCAACUUCCAGUUUGCCCAACAAUCAGCGAAGUAGAACAAGAAGAAGUUGGGGUUAGACUUCAACCCUGGUCCCUCAGCACCAAGGGCAGAUGGCACACGCUACGCAGAACCCAAUAUCAUCGGUCCGUAUGCCAAUCUUGAGGGCCUCAUCACCCGCAUCUUAGUCCAAGGGACUGCCGUGAAUGACCCUCCAGUUGACUCUGAGUCUGAUGAAGCUCCUGCUGUACCGAAGCCAAAGCAGUCGAAGAAGCCAAAAGCUUCAAAGCCAGCCCCUUCAUCAAAAAUCUCAAGGGCGAAGCCAUUGGCAACUGCACCUCCUGAAGACAGUGUGCAGUCUGAAGACGUAUCCCGCGUCUCCAAGCCCCAGAAGGCCAAGGUGCCUCAGCCACACAUCGGCAAAGAGCUCACAGCUGCUGCCAUUCUGCGCAGCGAAGCCAUUGAUCUGUCAAGUGAUGAAGAUCUUGGAGAUGACGCUCUGGAGCAGCUCAUCAAGAGCAAAGAAGAAGCUGAAAUCUUCAACAAUUUGCCUCUCUUUGAUGUCGCCAUCAUCCACAACUUCAUCGACGAAUGGUUUGCCACACCAAAUAUCAGCUUCGAAGAUCUGCAGCUGCCUGUUGGCCUCAGCGUCGCCUUCCAAGGUGCAAUUGCUUCAGAACUUGCCAUUGCCCAGCGCAUUGUUGAACUGAAGCAGAAAAUUGAUCAUGAAAAGGCUCAGUUCAAGAAGAAUAUGGCCAAGCUCAGCGUGCAAGAAGUGAAGAGCUUCAAGACCAUGUUGCAUGAGCUCAAGGAAAAUUUUCUGAAGAAGCGUGCAGAAGCUCAGGGCUCACGUGAGUGGAUGAAGUCUCUGGCUGAAAGAUGUGUACAAGCCUACAAUGAGGCUGAGAAGCGCAAGGCACUUGGGCGUCCUGGCAUCGACCCCAAGAUGGCCGCGAAGAAGAAGAAGAAGCCUGCUAUGGCCGAACCAGAGGCACCUGGGCAAGAAGCAGUUCCAAUUGUCUUCCCAACUGCAACGACUGGCUCGAAGCCAAAGAGCCGGUCAACAGCUUCAGAGCUCAAGAAGACAAGAACUGCUGAGGCUGAAGCCAGGAAGAGUAAAAGCUCUGAAGCCUCUCCUACUGCCCCCAGCAAGAAGAAGCGAAAGAUCAAGAAAUCUCGGGCUGCUCGCACAGAGCCCUUGAUAGUUGAACCUAUCUCUAUGGUUCACCCCAACGCAGAACGACAACUGACAGUUCAUGAGCCUGCUUCCAUAGAGGCUCCUGAAGCUGAAGACAUACCAGCAGCCGACCCCAUUGCUACUGAAGACAUUGGUCAUUAGGACAAUGUACAAGAUGAUGCAGCCCUUCCUCAGUAUGAACAAAGGGAGCUCAUCAGCAUUGGUCGUCCUCUGACGCCAAUUGCACAAGAUGCGUCAUGGGAGGAUCGCCCUCAAGAGGAAGAAGACAAUGAGGCCCAGCCCACUCCAACCCCACAGGCGUCGUCUGCAUUCCGCAGGCUUCGCAAAGGUCCAAGGCCUCAAGUCUAUGCUGAAGACAUUCCGGCUACAUCAGCCGCAGAAGACGCACCACAAGAGCCUACUCCUAUGCUCCACCAAGAAGCAGUUCUCCAGGAGAACGUGCUUGUGACUGACCCUCCAGCUAGUCAAGUGGAGGCUGAAAAUGUUGAGGCUGCCACAACCAACACUGAAGCCAAUGUGGAGCCCUCCCCACCAAAAGCUUCAGCAGACAACGAAGCUACUGAUCCAGACACUUCUGUUCCUGAGUCUGCUGCAGGUCCUCAAUUUGAUUACCAUGUUGAGCACAGGCCUCAUGUCCAGAAGCGAGUCCCAAGGCUGCCAAGGUUCACAGGUCCUGCAUCAGCACCUGGCUCCUUUGACAUCAAUAUCUUCAAGGCAGACAAUACGUUCUUCAACAGCUCCAAGAACCCCUAUUCAAGGGAAAGGAUUUCAUCAGAUAGGUUCUGGAGCUAUCCUCAGCGCAGCUACUAUUCAUGCAUCCUAUACAACCAAGGUCGCAUCUUCCCGCACAAGCGCCUUGAUGUUGAAGGCAUUGCUGGUCUGCCCUGCUUAGAGGAAGCGCUGGAUUGCUUCAAGCAAGUGGGUCUGCUGCAGUUUAUAACUGAUGAAGAGCACUAGAAUGAAGAGCUUCUGUUGCAAUUCUAUGCCACCCUACACAUCAAAGGAUACAACAGAGAUCCGAAGACUUGUGCCCUGGAGUGGAUGACCGGCAAUGUCCAUCACGAAGCUAAUGCAUUCGAUAUCAUUGAGCUCACCGGCCUGCCCACUCCUGGCGAACUCUUCGAGGAAGGCUGUCCACUACACACUAAAGCUCUUGAGAGCAUAUUCCAGAGGCCUGAACCAAAUAUGAGUCAGAUGCUCUCCAUGAUGAAGCCAUUGCCCCACGAUGCUCCUUAUCCAACAUAGUUCUUCAUUGAAGACUUUGAGUACCUGCCCAGAACCAUCUAUCACAUUAUCCGGCGGACUCUCUGGCCUAUUAAAGGGCACUCUCCAAAUGCCAAGAUCGAGGGUGCAAUAAAGACUCUGAUAUUCUGUAUCCUUCAUGGCAAAUGCUUCAAUGCAUAGGACUUCUUCAUACGCCAACUCGCUGCCUCAGGCUCAGAUUUGUUUGGUUUAAAGUUCUAUGCUCCUUGGGUAAUGAGACUGAUCAAGCUUCACUCUGCGAUCUCAUAUCAGCCCUCAGCCCGCAACCAUCAGAUCUUCUUGCCAGAUGUGGAUACCUCUGCUGAAGCUAUAUAUCCUGAGCCUGCCAAGCAACCUUUGAGUCUUCAGAAUGCAGAACACCAGAGCUUCACUCAAAACGAUGAAGGUGUUGAAGCCAUCUCCAGGGUGUAUCCUUUGGCUGGCACUACACGUGCGCCACACCCUGCUUCAACUGAAGCCACUGAUAGUGCAACUGCUUCCAGACCCAAGAAGCGCGCUCGUUUUCUCAAUAACCGAGAGUUUCUUGUGGCCCUUCAUCAAAAACAAGAUAGGCAUCACGACUGGCUAAAGCGUCAGAUGAAAAGCCUCUUGGUGGAUGUUAAUCGUCUUCGAAAUCUUGCCACCAAGAAUGCUUUCGUCACUCAAUAAACCUGUCGUCGUACAUGGAAAGGGCUAUCAAUGAUGUGUACUGAAGCUGAACUUGAAGAGCAUGGCUUCACUGAGCGAUUCAAGUUUGACACCACACCUCCUAGAAGGGCUGUGAUGCGCAACACACCAUCACUUGAAGACUCUGAGUUUUCUUCAUCUGCUGCCACAGUCACUGCCAGAAUCAUUGAUGAAGAAGACGAUGCUACAUCACCGCCACCUGCUUCAGCACCUCCAAGCUCUUCUGCACCACCAAACACCUCCAACGACCCUGCUGCUCCUGGGAACGAGUAGACACUCUAUGUCUUCAAACCUUUUUGGUCCUUGCUGACAAAAGGGGGAGAAGCAUAUGGUUGAUAGUCUUCAAGCGGGUCCAUAUGGGCGGGUGCUUUAUGUUUUGCUAUAUUUUGCUUCGUGCUUACAACUCUCGUUUUUGCUUCAUUUGGUUCUUUGAGUUGUAACACUAAAACUCGAUGGUCGUCUGCUACUUGUUUGCCACCCUGUUUGCGAAGAUAAAUUCCGCAUGUGCGACGAUAAAUUCCACACUUAUCUCAUUCUGCAGACGUCCAUUUUCCAUUAUGCAUGUCAUUAUCUUCAUAUACUUUCACAUGCAUAGUGGAUUGUCAUCAUAAGCUGAUUUGGAUCUCCACAAGUACAACCUGCCAUGCGCAUUUGCAUUCUAAAAGCAAAUUAACUUAUAUGCACAUCUUCAGGGGGAGCCCUUGAAACUUAUGAAGACAAUUCCUUAUCCUUUACAAUUUCACAGACUAUAUUCCCCGUUGAAAACUUCAACUAGUUUGUCAUCAAUCACCAAAAAGGGGGAGAUUGUAAGUGCAUCUAGUGCCACCCCUAGUUGGUUUUGGAGUAUUAACGACAAACCUAGUUGAGGGACUAAUGUGUUUGUGAGAAUUGCAGGAUAACACAGGUAGAAGUCCCUAGUUGAUUCAGUUUUACUACCAGAGAUGACCCCUAAAAAUGUAUGAAGACAUUGAAGCCAAAGGUGGUAUAUGAAGAUAUUCACAUUGAAGACUAUGACAAAAGAAGACACGUUAUGAAGCCUAUGGAGCUCGAAGACUUAGAUCUUUCGUAGUUCUUUUUCUUUUGUGUUGAGUCAUAGGAACCACCAUACUGUUAAGUGGGGUCCAGGAGAACUAGUCAGAAUGACUGAAGUGAACAAAAAACCUAUGUCUUCGAGUGAAGACAAUGAGAGCGAAUAUUGUCCAGAGCCGGACAAGUCAGCUUUGCUUGUAGCCCAAGUAAAGUUUCCAUGAGAGUUUGAAAUCUGACCGUUGAGACACGUGUCAGUUCCUUAGUGACCCAGGGUCAUUUCGGACAAAUCAGGUCGGGUUGCCAAGUGGCUAUAAAUAGCCCACCCCCUACAACCAUAAACGGUUGGCUGCUCAGAUUUCAGUGCACGGCUUUUGUCGUUUGAGAGCAACCCACCUCGAAGCCUUUGAGAGAAAAUUCCUAGCGAGGAGAAAAGCCCUAACCACCCAGAGCCAGAGAACAUUGGGCAUCACUUAAGUCUUCUUGUCUGUGUGAUCUGAAGACUUAUUACACUUGAGGACUGUGAAUCCUCCAGACGGUUAGGCGUCGCGUUCAGAGCAUCCAAGAGACAUUGUGGAUUGCCAGUGAACGAAGUCUGUGAAGGUUUGGGAGUCUACCUUGAAGACUUACCAGAGUGAUUGGGUGAGGACUAUGUGACCUUAGCUCAAGGAGAAUACGGUGAGGACUUGGUGUCCUGAGCUGCGUGUUCAGGACUGGGUGUCCAGGACUGUGUGUCCUAAGGUUUAAAUACCUAGCCGCUCCAACCAUACGUACAGUUGUCACAGCAACUGGAACUGGUCCAACACAUCAUUGUCUUCAACGAGUCACCGGUUUCAUCUUCACUUCCUUUUUCUUACUGUUACUCAUUGUGAAGCCAUUGCAUGCUUGCUCUAUCUUUUGUCUUCACAACGUGAAUGUAUGAUCUGUUUGGCUUCAUAACUUCUUCCUACCUGAUCCUUAUUACACUUCAGCUGUUUGUCUUUGUGCUUUCACUCUAUUGAAUACUUGACCAUGGCUUGCCUAGUGUAAUCUAACUUCCGCUGCAUAGUAAUAGGCAAAAUCUUCGCUGUUUGUCUUCAUAACUCCCACGUUUUGAAGACUUUCAUAAAAAUCGCCUAUUCACCCCCCUCUAGUCGAUAUAACGCACUUUCAAGGACGAAUAUUUUGCUCUUGCUGAUCAUUGUCAUCGUUAGAAAUGUCUCCAGGCUGAGCAUUGUCUUCAGGUUGAUCAGGUGCGAAGAUGAUACGUUCCUCUUCAGGCUGAGCUUCAGAAGGUAUGAUUUCUCUAGUUCCCAUAAGUUUGAUUGAUUCACUAGAUGGAACUUCAUCUAGCACAUUUGACAGGUGCUCUCUUUGCGAACUGUUAGUCUCAUCGAACCGCACAUCCACUGUUUCAACCACUUUAUAGUGAAAAAGGUUGAAGACUCUAUAGGAGUGCGAAUCCUUUCCAUAUCCAAGCAUAAAGCCUUCGUGUGCUUUUGGUGCAAAUUUUGAAGUGUGAUGUGGAUCCUUGAUCCAGCACCUGGCACCAAAUACUCUUAAGUAACUAACAUUUGGCUUCUUGCCAGUAAGGAGCUCAUAGGAUGUCUUGUUAAAAAGCUUGUGAAGAUAAACAUGGUUGAUGAUAUGGCAUGCAGUAUCAAUGGCUUCAGGCCAGAAUUUUCUUGGAGUCUUGUAUUCAUCAAGCGUCGUCCGAGCCAUCUCAAUAAGUGUUCUGUUCUUGCGUUCGAUGACGCCAUUCUGCUGUGGCGUGUAUGGAGCUGAGAAUUCAUGUGCGAUGCCCAAAGUAUCAAGAUAUGUAUCCAGUCCAGUGUUCUUGAAUUCAGUGCCAUUGUCACUUCUGAUGUGCUUUAUCUUGACGCCAUAGUUGUUCAUUGCUCGAUUGGUGAAGCGUCUGAAGACAUCCUGCACUUCAGUCUUGUAGAGGAUUAUAUGCACCCAAGUAUAUCUUGAAUAAUCAUCAACAAUGACAAAGCCAUAGAGACAAGCAGUAGUAGUAAGAGUCAAGUAAUGAGUGGGACCAAAAAGGUCCAUGUGGAGCAGUUCGAAGGGUUGAGUCGUUGUCAUGAUUGUCUUCGAGGGAUGCUUGGCCCUCGUCAUCUUUCCUGCUUCACAGGCACUGCAUAAGUGAUCCUUCUUGAACUUGACGCCCUCGAUGCCUAUGACAUGCUUCUUCCUUGCAAGGGUGUGGAGGUUCCUCGUGCCAGCAUGCUCUAGCCUCCGAUGCCAGAGCCAGCAUUCAGAAGCUUUUGCUAGAAGACAUACUGCAAGUUGUGGUCCUGCUGAGAAAUCUACCACGUACAAAUCAUCUUUCCGAUACCCUUCAAACACUAGAGACUUGUCAGAUUCCAUUAGAACAAGGCAACGAUAUUUUCCAAACAUCACAAUCAUGUUUAAAUCGCAAAGCAUUGAGACAGACAUUAAUUUGAAACCAAGGGAUUCAACAAGCAUGACUUUAUCCAUGCGUUGAUCCUUUGAGAUUGCAACUCUACCUAGACCCAAUACCUUGCUUUUACCAGUGUCAGCAAAUGUGAUGUGACUUUUGUCAGAUGGAUGUAAGGCUGAGUCCAUGAGAAGGCUUCGCUUGCUAGUCAUGUGAUUGGUACACCCACUAUCAAUAAUCCAUUCUAAAGCAGCUGGUGUCGUACCGUUGGCACCGCGUGCCAUGAAGCAGUAGGAAGGAGUGGAGUAGUCCUUGUCAUUUUCAUCGGUGUCGGUGAUGAAGUCAUUGUCUUCAGUGUUGAAGAUGGACUUGGCAACGUAUGAUGUAGCCAGACUCGCAACGCCAAAAUCGGACUCCUCCUCAGACUCCACCUCCGCCUCCUCAGAAGCGGACUCCUCCUCUGAAUCCAUUUCCUUGCCAACAAACACACGUGCCUUGCCAUAUGAGCUCUUCUUGUGUGAUGAAGACUUUGAGGAAGACUUGGAAGAAGACUUUGAGUGUUUCUUCUUCUUCUUGUCGUCAGAGUCAUACUCCUUGCUCUUCUUCUUCUUCUUGUUCUCAUUGUCCCACUGCGGACACUCAGAGAUUUAGUGGCUAGGUUUCUUGCACUUGUGGCAUGUUCUCUUCUUGUAGUCAUGAGCAGAAGCUUCAUCAUUCCUUGAGCUUGAUCGUGAGGACUUUCUGAAGCCUUUCUUCUUGGUGAAUUUUUAGAACUUCUUCACAAGCAUAGCAAGCUCCUUUCCAAUGACUUCAGGAUCAUCAGAACUGCUAUCAGAUUCUUCUUCAGAUGAGGAGACAACUUUUGCCUUCAAGGCCCGACUUCGCCCAUAGUUGGGACCGUAGAUGUCUCUUUUCUCAGAAAGCUGAAACUCGUGUGUGUUGAGCCUCUCAAGUAUGUCAGACAGAUUGAGUGUCUUAAAGUCAGGACGUUCUUGAAUCAUCAGGGCUAGGGUGUCAAAUGAGCUGUCAAGUGAUCUCAGGAGUGUCUUGACGACUUCAUGCUUGGUGAUCUCAGUAGCGCCGAGGGCUUGAAGCUCAUUUGUGAUGUCAGUGAGUCGAUCAAACAUGAGCUGGACAUUCUCAUUGUCAUUUCUCUUGAAGCAGUUGAAGAGGUUGCGAAGGACACUAAUUCUCUGAUCUCUCUGGGUUGAGACGCCUUCGUUGACCUUGGAGAGCCAGUCCCAGACUAGCUUAGAUGUUUCCAAAGCACUCACGCGGCCAUACUGUCCUUUGGUCAGAUGACCACAGAUGAUGUUGUUGGCAGUAGAGUCCAGUUGAACGAACUUCUUGACAUCAGCAGCGGUGACACCUUCUCCAGCCUUGGGAACGCCAUUCUUGAAGACAUACCAUAGGUCGACAUCAAUGGCUUCAAGAUGCAUGCGCAUCUUAUUCUUCCAGUAGGGAUAUUCAGUUCCAUCGAAGACGGGGCACGCAGCGGAGACUUUAAUUAUCCCUGCAGUCGACAUAGCUAAAACUCCAGGUGGUUAAAUCGAAUCACACAGAACAAGGGAGUACCUUUCUCUGAUACCAAUUGAAAGUGCUAGUGAUCGACUAGAGGGGGGGUGAAUAGGCGAUUUUUAUGAAAGUCUUCAAAACAUGGAAGUUUCGAAGACAAACGAUAGAAACAAACCUAUUACCAUGCAGUGGAAGGUAGACUACACUAGGAAAACCAUAGUCAAGUAUUCAAUGAAGUGAAAGCGCAAUGACUAAUAGCAGCUAGGCAGUAAGGAUCAGGUAGGAAGAUAUUGUGAAGCCAAUCAGAACAAGUAAUCACUCAGUGAAGCCAAAUGGUGAUGCAAUCGUACAAUGGCUUCACAAGGACCAAUAGUAAGUAAAGGGAAGGGAAGGAUGAAACCAGUGAUUCGUUGAAGACAAUGAUUUGUUGGACCAGUUCCAGUUGCUGUGACAACUGUACGUCUGGUUAGGGAGGCUGAGAUUUAACUCAGAAGACCUCAUCUUCACCUUAUUCCCCUUGAGCUAAGGACACCCAGUCCUCGCCCAAUCACUCUGGUAAGUCUUCAAGGUAGACUUCCAAACCUUCACAGACUUCGUUCACCGGCGAUCCACAAUGACUCUUGGAUGCUCAGAAUGCGACGCCUAACCGGCUGGAGGAUUCACAGUCCUCAAGUGUAAUAAGUCUUUAGAUCACACAGACGGGAAGACUUAAGUGAUGCCUAACACUCUUUGGAUCUGAGUGGUUAGGGCUUUAUCCUCGCAAGGAAUUCUCUCUCAAAGGCUUCGAGGUGGGUUGCUCUCAAACGACAAAAGCCGUAUUCUAACUCUGAGAAGCCAACCGUUUAUGGUUGUAGGGGGUGGGCUAUUUAUAGCCACUAGGAAACCCGACCUGAUUUGUCCGAAAUGACCCUCGGUCACUAAGGAACUGACACGUGUUCCAAUGGUAAGAUUUCAAACACACACGACAAAUUUACUUGGUCUACAAGCAAAGCUGACUUAUCCAACUCUGGACAAGAUUUGCUCUCAUAGUCUUCACUCGAAGACAUAGGAUUUUGGUUAAGCAUCACUUCAGUCAUUCUGACUGGUUCUCUUGGACCCCACUUAACAGUACGGUGGUUCCUAUGACUCAACAAAGAAGAAAAAGAAUGACGAAAGAACUAAGUCUUCGCACUCCAUAGUCUUCAUGCGAUGUCUUAUCUUGUCAUAGUCUUCAAUGUGAAUGUCUUCACAUACCACCUUUGUCUUCAAUGUCUUCUUACAUUUUUAGGGGUCAUCUCUGGUAGGAAACCCGAAUCAAUGAGGGACUUCUACCUGUGUUUUCCUGCAAUUCUCACAAACACAUUAGUCCCUCAACUAGGUUUGUCGUCAAUACACCAAAACCAACUAGGGGUGGCACUAGAUGCACUUACACUUGGACGCGAGCUGCUGAAUGUGUAGUGAUCUUCAUUGUUGAGUGAGCUUGUGGGUGUUGAAAUUAUGUGUAAUUUGAAAUUUUCUAUCUAAGUUGAUGUGUACUGAACUUCAGUACAAUUGAAGUGCAAUGUGCUAUCAAAGUUGUUGUGGAAUAACAUGGUGAAAGGUGGUUGAAUGAACAAUAUUUUGACAAUAGAUUG